rnacentral:rRNA from 1 species
UACGUAGGGGGCGAGCGUUGUCCGGAAUUAUUGGGCGUAAAGGGUGCGUAGGUGGUUUCUUAAGUCAGAGGUGAAAGGCUACGGCUCAACCGUAGUAAGCCUUUGAAACUGGGAAACUUGAGUGCAGGAGAGGAGAGUGGAAUUCCUAGUGUAGCGGUGAAAUGCGUAGAUAUUAGGAGGAACACCAGUAGCGAAGGCGGCUCUCUGGACUGUAACUGACGCUGAGGCACGAAAGCGUGGGGAGCAAACAGGAUUAGAUACCCGCGUAGUUCCUGAG